rnacentral:rRNA from 1 species
UUUAACUUAAAAAGUGAAACUAAGAAAAUACUCGAUCCCAUUCCGAACUCGAAAGUAAUUUUAUCUUUACUAAAAAUACUAUAAACAUGGGAAUUUUAGUCAGUUAAA